rnacentral:rRNA from 1 species
UACGUAGGGUGCAAGCGUUAAUCGGAAUUAUUGGGCGUAAAGCGCGCGCAGGCGGUUUUGUAAGUCUGGUGUUUAAUCCCGGGGCUCAACCCCGGUUCGCACUGGAAACUGCAGGACUUGAGUGCAGAAGAGGAGAGUGGAAUUCCACGUGUAGCGGUGAAAUGCGUAGAGAUGUGGAGGAACACCAGUGGCGAAGGCGACUCUCUGGUCUGUAACUGACGCUGAGGCGCGAAAGCGUGGGGAGCAAACAGG